rnacentral:tRNA from 1 species
GGUCUAUUAGUCUAGUUGGUUAGGACGUCGGAUUCUGAUCUCUUAAUCAGUUCCUUCCGUAAGCCCAGGUUCGAAUCCUGGAUGGACCU